GACGAACGCUGGCGGCGUGCUUAACACAUGCAAGUCGAACGGAAAGGCCCCUUUUGGGGUCCUCGAGUGGCGAACGGGUGGGUAACACGUGAGUAAGCUGCCCUUGACUUCGGGAGAAAUUCAGGAAACUGGGGCUAAUACCGGAUAGGAAUGCUUGCUGCAUGGUGGGGGUUGGAAAGCUUCGGGGGGUUGGGAUGGACUUGCGGCUUAUCUGCUUGUUGGUGGGGUAGUGGGUUACCAAGGCUUUGACGGGUAGGCGGCCUGGGGGGGCGACCGGCCACAGUGGGACCGAGAUACGGCCCAGACUCCUACGGGGGGCAGGCGGGGGGAAUUAUGCACAAUGGGCGGAAGGCUGGUGCAGCAACGCCGCGUGCGGGAUGACGGCCUUCGGGGUGGAAACCGCGUUCAGCAGGGGCGAAGCUUGUGGUGACGGUACCUGCAGAAGAAGCACCGGCUAACUACGUG
rnacentral:rRNA from 1 species